rnacentral:rRNA from 1 species
CGUGCCUAACACAUGCAAGUCAACUUGACUGAAGGAGCAAUCUGACAGUAGAGUGGCGCAAGGGUGCGUAACGCGUAAGUAACUUGCCCAAGGUAAGGAAUAACGUCGAGAAAUCGGCGCUAAUACCUCAUAAUGCAGCGGAUCCGCAUGGAUAUGUUGUUAAAGGUUUACCGCCUUGGGAUAGGCUUGCGUCUGAUUAGCUAGUUGGUGUGGUAACGGCACACCAAGGCUACGAUCAGUAACUGGUCUGAGAGGAUGAUCAGUCACACUGGAACUGAGACACGGUCCAGACUCCUACGGGAGGCAGCAGUGAGGAAUAUUGGGCAAUGCUCGAAAGAGUGACCCAGCAACGCCGCGUGGAGGAUGAAGGUAUUCUAUAUCGUAAACUCCUGUGAGAGCAGACGAAAGACAGAUUAUUAAUCUGGAUGACUGUAUGCUCAGAGGAAGCCCCGGCUAACUACGUG